UGGGGAAUAUUGCACAAUGGGCGCAAGCCUGAUGCAGCCAUGCCGCGUGUAUGAAGAAGGCCUUCGGGUUGUAAAGUACUUUCAGCGGGGAGGAAGGGAGUAAAGUUAAUACCUUUGCUCAUUGACGUUACCCGCAGAAGAAGCACCGGCUAACUCCGUGCCAGCAGCCGCGGUAAUACGGAGGGUGCAAGCGUUAAUCGGAAUUACUAGGCGUAAAGCGCACGCAGGCGGUUUGUUAAGUCAGAUGUGAAAUCCCCGGGCUCAACCUGGGAACUGCAUCUGAUACUGGCAAGCUUGAGUCUCGUAGAGGGGGGUAGAAUUCCAGGUGUAGCGGUGAAAUGCGUAGAGAUCUGGAGGAAUACCGGUGGCGAAGGCGGCCCCCUGGACGAAGACUGACGCUCAGGUGCGAAAGCGUGGGGAGCAAACAGG
rnacentral:rRNA from 1 species